rnacentral:rRNA from 1 species
AGCGAACGCUGGCGGCAGGCCUAACACAUGCAAGUCGAACGAACUCUUCGGAGUUAGUGGCGGACGGGUGAGUAACACGUGGGAACGUGCCCUUUGGUUCGGAAUAACUCAGGGAAACUUGUGCUAAUACCGAAUGUGCCCUUCGGGGGAAAGAUUUAUCGCCAUUAGAGCGGCCCGCGUCUGAUUAGCUAGUUGGUGAGGUAACGGCUCACCAAGGCGACGAUCAGUAGCUGGUCUGAGAGGAUGACUAGCCACACUGGGACUGAGACACGGCCCAGACUCCUACGGGAGGCAGCAGUGGGGAAUCUUGCGCAAUGGGCGAAAGCCUGACGCAGCCAUGCCGCGUGAAUGAUGAAGGUCUUAGGAUUGUAAAAUUCUUUCACCGGGGACGAUAAUGACGGUACCCGGAGAAGAAGCCCCGGCUAACUUCGUG